rnacentral:tRNA from 1 species
GGGCAAUUAGCUCAGUUGGUUAGAGCGCUGCAUUCACAUUGCAGAGGUCACUGGUUCAAAUCCAGUAUUGCCCACCA